UCAAUUUCGACUACGACCUCGACUACGACAUAUAAAUUUGCCGCAAGCAUUGAAAAUUUGUGCCUUUUUAUCCUCGUUAUACCAUGCAUUCCAUGAUAUGAAAUCACAGUUGUAAAGAUAAGACUACCUGCUACAAUGCCGACAGCAAUGGCUGAAAAUACGGCAAAUUUUGAACGUCAAGUCAGUCAUGGCGCGCCGAUUUCAUUUAAUCGUGUCGAGCCGGAGGUGCCGUCAGAAGAACACGAAGAAAUGAAUAAGAUGGCGCAUGAUGUCUCAGAAACACUAAG